rnacentral:rRNA from 1 species
GCUUACGACAGAACCUUCGGGGGAAGAUGUAAGGGACUGAGCGGCGGACGGGUGAGUAACGCGUGGGUAACCUGCCUCAUACAGGGGGAUAACAGUUGGAAACGACUGCUAAUACCGCAUAAGCGCACGGUACCGCAUGGUACAGUGCGAAAAACUCCGGUGGUGUGAGAUGGAUCCGCGUCUGAUUAGGUAGUUGGUGAGGUAACGGCCCACCAAGCCGACGAUCAGUAGCCGACCUGAGAGGGUGACCGGCCACAUUGGGGCUGAGACACGGCCCAAACUCCUACGGGAGGCAGCAGUGGGGAAUAUUGCACAAUGGGCGAAAGCCUGAUGCAGCAACGCCGCGUGAGUGAAGAAGUAUCUCGGUAUGUAAAGCUCUAUCAGCAGGGAAGAAAAUGACGGUACCUGACUAAGAAGCCCCGGCUAACUACGUGCCAGCAGCCGCGGUAAUACGUAGGGGGCAAGCGUUAUCCGGAUUUACUGGGUGUAAAGGGAGCGCAGACGGCACUGCAAGUCUGAAGUGAAAGCCCGGGGCUCAACCCCGGGACUGCUUUGGAAACUGUAGAGCUAGAGUGCUGGAGAGGCAAGCGGAAUUCCUAGUGUAGCGGUGAAAUGC